UUUUUCUUUUCCUCCCCGCGUGUCCGAGUUCCUCCCCAACCCCGACGCCGAUUUCCCCUCACCCUUCUUCCUCCGAGCCCUAACCGCCCUAACCGGCGAUCUCUUCCACUACUUCUUCUUCUCCUCUGCCGAGUCGGAUCUUUCCUCUUCCUCCUUCCUCGCGACGCCCAUCUCCACUGCCAGCACUGUCGACGUACGGAGCACUGCCGCCGGCGACGCACGGAGCACUGCCGCACACCCCGGUGCCCUAGCAUCUCCGCCGACGCCACUGACUCCUCUCGGCCGCUUCUCUGUGCCAACACUCGAACCCCAGCGCCGACCCCCUUUCUCUGUGCCCUAGCAUUUCCGUCAACGCCGAGCAGCGCCGACCUUCUUCUCCUCGCCGGCACUCAAGUCGCCGCUGUGCCCUAGAUCUUUGCCGCCCGCCACCGCGAGCCCUAGCUGGCCAUCGGCGCCCGUUGUCCCUUUGCUGUGGAGAUCCCCACGCCGCCCUCGCUUGACCUAGCCGACCAUCAAGAAGCCUGCUGCCAUCGUCGACGAAGCUUCAGCCACCUACUCGAGGUGUUGUUCCACCGCCGAUAUUUUUGGUCUUUCUGAUCAGUUGAGGAUCAACAAAAGGCUUUGGGUAUAAGAUCAACCCUUUGAUUUACAGCAGCGACCAUCCUAUGUUGUGAGCCAACAGAGAAGUCUUCAAAUUGGACUUUGACGCGAGACGAGUAUCUCGAUUGUCGGAUUGGACCAUUUCGAUUGGAGGCGGGUUGAUGCUGUCACGAGAGAAUUGCAGUUGCUAGUCCCCUGCAGACCACCAACUGUAGUUAUCUUUGGUUUUGUUUAUGCUUCUCAUUUGACUAUGUUUUAGACUUGGUUGAUUUGAUACUUGGAUAUUGUAUGGUUUGUACCUGUCGAUGGAUUUUUAUUCGUUAUGUUUUACUA